rnacentral:rRNA from 2 species
CAGGUGCAUGCCUCUAGCAUGAAGUCA